rnacentral:rRNA from 1 species
AUGCUUUGGAAGAAGCUUGUACAGUUUGGGAAGGGGUUUUUUGAGAGAAAAGAAGAAUCUACUUCAACAGAUAUGCCCUUAGGCACGGCCAUGCAUAACAUAGAAAUCACACGUGGAAGGGGUGGGCAAUUAGCUAGAGCAGCAGGUGCUGUAGCGAAACUCAUUGCAAAAGAGGGUAAAUCGGCCACUUUAAGAUUACCAUCUGGGGAGGUCCGUUUAGUAUCCCAAAACUGCUUAGCAACAGUCGGACAAGUGGGUAAUGUUGGGGUGAACCAAAAAAGUUUGGGUAGAGCCGGAUCUAGGUGUUGGCUAGGUAAACGCCCCGUAGUAAGAGGGGUAGUUAUGAACCCUGUGGACCACCCCCAUGGGGGCGGUGAAGGGAAAGAUCCCAUUGGUAGAAAAAAACCCACAACCCCUUGGGGUUAUCCUGCGCUUGGAAGAAGAACUAGGAAAAGGAAAAAAUAUAGCGAUAGUUUUAUUCUUCGUCGCCGUAAGUAA